ACUCUGAGCUUUUCCUCUGGGAACAGAUCCCAGAUUAUUCCAGACUUAAGACAUGGAGAUAUAUCUUGCUAGAGUGUAAGAUGAAAGAGGACCUGCCCUCCAUUCUAUCUACUCCCUCUCUGCAAAGGCCAUUUUGAAGAUCUCAGUUUUACUGAAAGGGGUCUGCCACACAUAACUUCCCUGGUGUACCAGCAACAAGUGUUCAGUGGACCAUGGCAACACAAAGAAUGACGGAGGAGAGAAAAUGCCAUGCAGAAGUGAUAGUCAAGAUGAAGAUGUGGGAGAGGAGCAGCCCCCAGUAUAUAUUCAGUGUGUCCUCUGAAGUAACAACCAUCCCAUCUGGCUGAGAAGUGAUGGACACGGCUCCUUAACCACACUGUACCCUCUGUUCUUGGCACCUCUCUACCAGAAAGAUAUCAACAAAUUGGAUGGAAUUCAGAGAACAGUAAGAAAAAUGAUUAAAGAGAUGGAGGCAGUGACUUAUGAGGAAAGAUGAAAAGGACUAAAUCUAUGUAGCUUGGCAAAGCAACAACUGAGUGACUUCCUAUUAUCCUUCUCAAAGUUAUUGCUGCAGAGGAAAGAAGCAUACAUCUUUUACCCACCAGGAAACCCCCAAAGCAUCUAUUACCAUAAUAGCCAUGGGAAACAGAAGGCACCUCAAAUAAAGGUGGGGAAAAGAAUGAAAGAAAUGGCUUUGGCCUGUGCCUGUUUGACCUCUGAGAGAUACUUUUUGCAAGAAAUUGUUAAGUUUUGGCCCAAAAAGUGGUCGGUCUUUUAUCCUUCCUUGUGGAGGCCAAACUGCAAACCAGGAUGAAGAAACCAUCAGUGGCAGUUUGGGGAGGUGGAGGAGGGACUAUCUAGACUCAGUGAAUCACCAAGGAAACAUGAGGCCUAUUUCUCUGUGAAGCUGAACUUCAAAAAACAAUCUAAGAGAUACAAAGGGAAAAGUGUGACUGCUCUGACAGCAAAAACAAGCAAAUAUCUCCAGAGGGGAUUAAUCCUUCUGCUUCAAAGUAACUAAAACAAAGAAAGCUGAGCCAGCUUCACUGGAAACAACACCUGUCCAUCAGACAAGGAUGAGCUAAUCAAAAGAAAACACUGCCUAUGUGCACGACUCAGCAGCCUGGACAGCUAAUACCAAGGAACACGUUUUCACUAUAAAGAUUCAGCUUUCAAAAUCCAGUUCCCUCUUGUAGAGCCACAGGGUUAAAAGGGACCUUAGAGAUCAUCUACAUACAGGCCAAACCCUCAAUGAAUGCCAGUGUUCGCCUUAU
ensembl:lncRNA TUSC7 tumor suppressor candidate 7